GGAGGGAUGGCAGAGCGGACGAAUGCGUCGGUCUUGAAAACCGUUGUGCCUUCGGGCACCGUGGGUUCGAAUCCCACUCCCUCCG
rnacentral:tRNA from 1 species